rnacentral:misc_RNA from 1 species
GAUGAAGAACGUAGCGAAAUGCGAUAAGUAGUGUGAAUUGCAGAAGUACCGUGAAUCAUCGAAUCUUUGAACGCAAAUUGCACUCUCUGGUAUUCCGGGGAGUAUGCCUGUUUGAGGGUCGCUUAACAAACCAUCGAUUUCGUUGCUUUUUUUUUUAAAAAGUGAUGUUUAUCGGAUUUGAGCCGUCUUUUUUUUUUAUAUUUAAGUGGCUUAAAAUUGAUUUUUUUGGUACGAUCGAAGCGUAUUUUUAUGAUCAAUUUUUGGUUAAAGAAACGCACACGUACCGUUAUUUAUAUGAUGUAAUACGUUUGACUAUUGGAUUUAGUUCAUUCGUAUACGAUAUUUUUCAAUAUUUGACCUCAAAUCAGGUAAGAACACCCGCUGAACUUAAGCAUAUCAAUAAGCGGAGGA